AUCUCCGUUUUCAGAGUUCGGCGGUGAUGGC
rnacentral:sRNA from 1 species